AGUUCAGUGAAUAUCAUUUAGGAAUCAUUUAGAAAAAAUGAAAUGAAUGAAAUUUUACAAUCUUCACAGGACCGAAGAGAGGCUGGCUGAGACCACCGCUCAACUUCAGGUGGUGAGAGAGCUAAAUAGACCUCAAGCUUUGACUACAAGACCAGUCCUGGAGCCACCUCGUGCUGGAAAUCUUCAUACCAUUUCAGUGUUUAGUGGAAAUCUUACUCCAAGAGAAAACUCAGUGGCUUCUACCGCACGUUCACAUCCUCCAAAUAACAGCAUCGAUGCUUUCUUGACCAAGGAGUGGGAAGAAAAUUGAACCAGAGGACUAGCAGAAGAUGCUAAGUAUGAAUCUGAACCUUACAGAACUCCCCUCCAAGGUCUCUGUCAUGAAGAUGGACUUGAAAGAGCAGGCAAAGAAUAUGUAGAGAUACUGAAGAGAAACUACAUGCUCUGAAUAGCAGUGACAUUUUUCUGGUUUUACUCCAAGUGUCAGUUAUAAUGUACGGACUCCUGAGUUUUCUCUUGGAACAUGACUAUAUGUGAAAUUCUUCAUGAUCAUUUCUCUUUGCACAUACCGGCACAGUCAAGAGACGUCUCCAGAGUUGAAAAUAAAUACUUUUAUGGUUCAUGAUGCCCUAGUUUG
rnacentral:lncRNA from 1 species